AUAAGGGAUAUCAUGCAGUAUUUGUCUUUCUCUGUCAGGCUUAUUUCACUUAGCAUAAUGUCUUCGAGGUCCAUCCGUAUUAAAACAUGUAUGAGAGUU